rnacentral:rRNA from 1 species
GAAGGGUGCAAGCGUUGUUCGGAUUUAUUGGGCGUAAAGCGCGCGUAGGUGGACCUGCAAGUCAGAUGUGAAAUCUCGAGGCUCAACCUCGAAACUGCGUCUGAAACUACAGGUCUAGAAUCUUGGAGGGGGAAGGGGAAUUUCGUAUGUAGGGGUAAAAUCCGUAGAUAUGCGAAGGAACACCGGAGGCGAAGGCGCCUUCCUGGACAAGUAUUGACACUGAGGCGCGAAAGCGUGGGGAUCAAACAGGAUUAGAUACCCUGGUAGUCCACGCUGUAAACGAUGAACACUAGAUAUUGGAGGAUUUGACCCCUUCAGUGUCGUAGCUAACGCGUUAAGUGUUCCGCCUGGGAAGUACGGUCGCAAGACUA